rnacentral:ribozyme from 11 species
UGAAAAGAGAGACAGAAAAGGAAGAAAAACGGAGGGAAACCUCUCAGAGACAGAAAAAGAGAGAGAGAGAGAGAGAAGAUCCCAAAGUCUUCCCACUCAACUCUCAAGAACUCUCCGAAUGUUCUUCUUUUUUCUCCUUUCUUCCCUUUCCUUUCCAU